AUGAAGAGUUUGAUCCUGGCUCAGGAUGAACGCUAGCGGCAGGCCUAAUACAUGCAAGUCGAGGGGCAGCGAUUCUAACUUGUUAGAAGUCGGCGACCGGCGCACGGGUGCGUAACGCGUAUGCAACUUACCUUUUACAGGAGGAUAGCCCGGGGAAACCCGGAUUAAUACUUCAUGGUGUUAUAAUGCGGCAUCGUAUAAUAACUAAAGAUUUAUUGGUAAAAGAUGGGCAUGCGUCCAAUUAGCUAGAUGGCGAGGUAACGGCUCACCAUGGCGAUGAUUGGUAGGGGUUCUGAGAGGAUGAUCCCCCACACUGGUACUGAGACACGGACCAGACUCCUACGGGAGGCAGCAGUAGGGAAUAUUGGUCAAUGGGCGAGAGCCUGAACCAGCCAUGCCGCGUGCAGGAUGACGGCCUUCUGGGUUGUAAACUGCUUUUAUAUGGGAAGAAAAAGGUCUUGCGAGACAAAUUGCCGGUACCAUAUGAAUAAGCACCGGCUAACUCCGUGCCAGCAGCCGCGGUAAUGCGGA
rnacentral:rRNA from 1 species